GGGGUGCAACACGAGGACUUCCCAGGAGGUCACCCAUCCUAGUACUACUCUCGCCCAAGCGCGCUUAACUGCGGAGUUCUGAUGGGAUCCGGUGCAUUAGUGCUGGUAUGAUCGCACCC
rnacentral:rRNA from 1 species